rnacentral:rRNA from 1 species
GAUUACCUCAGUAACGGCGAGUGAAGCGGUAACAGCUCAAAUUUGAAAUCUGGGUCUUUCAGGCUCCGAGUUGUAAUUUGUAGAAGAUGCUUUGGGUGCGGUCCCGGUCUAAGUUCCUUGGAACAGGACGUCAUAGAGGGUGAGAAUCCCGUAUGUGAUCGGUGGCUUGCGCCCGUGUAAAGCUCUUUCGACGAGUCGGGUUGUUUGGGAAUGCAGCUCUAAAUGGGUGGUAAAUUUCAUCUAAAGCUAAAUAUUGGCCAGAGACCGAUAGCGCACAAGUAGAGUGAUCGAAAGAUGAAAAGCACUUUGGAAAGAGAGUUAAACAGUACGUGAAAUUGUUGAAAGGGAAGCGCUUGCAACCAGACUUGCGCGGGGUUGAUCAUCCGGGGUUCUCCCCGGUGCACUCGGCCUCGCUCAGGCCAGCAUCGGUUUCGGUGGUUGGAUAAAGGCCUUGGGAAUGUGACUUCUUUCGGGGAGUGUUAUAGCCCUCGGUGCAAUGCAGCCUACCGGGACCGAGGACCGCGCUUCGGCUAGGAUGCUGGCGUAAUGGUUGUAAGCGACCCGUCUUGAAACACGGACCAAGGAGUCUAACAUCUAUGCGAGUGUUUGGGCGUCAAACCCAUACGCGUAAUGAAAGUGAACGGAGGUGAGAACCCUUAAGGGUGCAUCAUCGACCGAUCCUGAUGUCUUCGGAUGGAUUUGAGUAAGAGCAUAGCUGUUGGGACCCGAAAGAUGGUGAACUAUGCCUGAAUAGGGUGAAGCCAGAGGAAACUCUGGUGGAGGCUCGCAGCGGUUCUGACGUGCAAAUCGAUCGUCAAAUUUGGGCAUAGGGGCGAAAGACUAAUCGAACCAUCUAGUAGCUGGU